AGUGCUAGCUCGCCGAGGCCGCCUCCGGGGACCACCUGGCUUCAUGUGUGGAUUUGCACGGCUCUUGCCCAGAGGCGGGUACACUGUGUUCCAGUGUGCCACAGAACUCACGCAGUGGCACUUUGUGGCUUCAUGAAGGAAGAGGCAGGCCACGCAACACUUCCUCCCCAAGCCAAGGAGAAGUAUCACUUUUAGAGGCAGAGGAGCGGAAGGCAGUGGGGUGACCAAAAGUGCCAUUUAUUAAAGGAGGCCAGAGCAAGCUCAUUUUCAAACCAGAUCUCACUUUGGAAGAGGUACAGGCAGAAAAUCCCAAAGUGUCCAGAGGCCGAUAUCGCCCUGAGAAAUGUAAAGCUUUACAGAGGGUCGCCAUCCUCGUUCCCCACCGGAACAGAGAGAAACACCUGAUGUACCUGCUGGAACAUCUGCAUCCCUUCCUGCAGAGGCAGCAGCUGGAUUAUGGCAUCUACGUCAUCCACCAGGCUGGAGGUAAAAAGUUUAAUCGAGCCAAACUCUUGAAUGUGGGCUAUCUAGAAGCUCUCAAGCAAGAAAAUUGGGACUGCUUUAUAUUCCACGACGUGGACCUGGUACCCGAGAAUGACUUUAACCUUUACAAGUGUGAGGAGCAUCCCAAGCAUCUGGUGGUUGGCAGGAACAGCACUGGGUACAGGUUACGUUACAGUGGAUAUUUUGGGGGUGUUACUGCCCUAAGCAGAGAGCAGUUUUUCAAGGGUUGAGCUCCAUAAAAUGAAAAUUUCCCGGCCCCUGCCUGAAGUGGGUAAAUAUACAAUGGUCUUCCACACUAGAGACAAAGGCAAUGAGGUGAACGCAGAACGG
rnacentral:sRNA from 1 species